AUGAGUCAGCCACCGUUACCUGCUGUCUGUACGCAGGCAGCGUCCGCCCUGCUGCCGGUGGCCAUUGAUUACCCGGCGGCCCUCGCACUGCGCCAGAUGGCAAUGCAGCAUGACGACUACCCGAAAUAUCUGCUGGCUCCGGAGGUAAGUGCCCUGCUCCACUACGUCCCUGAUCUGCAUCGCAGGAUGCUGCUGGCCACUCUAUGGAAUACCGGCGCACGGAUUAACGAGGCGCUGGCCUUGACACGGGGAGACUUUUCGCUGGCACCACCUUAUCCGUUUGUGCAGCUGGCCACUCUGAAACAGCGGGCGGAAAAGGCGGCCAGAACGGCAGGACGGAUGCCGUCCGGCAGCCAGCCCCACCGCUUGGUGCCGCUUUCUGAUAACCAGUAUGUCAGCGAACUGCAGAUGAUGGUGGCCACGCUGAAAAUCCCGCUGGAGCGUCGUAACAGACGUACCGGCAGAACGGAAAAGGCGCGCCUCUGGGAGAUCACCGACCGGACGGUCCGUACCUGGAUUGGGGAGGCGGUUGAGGCCGCAGCGGCUGACGACGUGACGUUCUCAGUCCCGGUGACACCCCAUACAUUCCGCCACUCCUAUGCGAUGCACAUGCUGUACGCCGGCAUACCGCUGAAGGUGCUGCAGGCGCUGAUGGGACACAAAUCGGUGAGCUCGACGGAAGUGUACACGAAAGUGUUUGCGCUUGAUGUUGCCGCACGACACCGGGUGCAGUUUCAGAUGCCGGGUGCUGAUGCAGUGGCUAUGCUCAAAGGAGGUUCAUAG
rnacentral:misc_RNA from 1 species